rfam:Acidobacteria bacterium 13_2_20CM_57_17 13_2_20cm_scaffold_1904, whole genome shotgun sequence.
CCCAGCCCUUACGGGCUGGGCUAACUUCUGGCGCGCCUACGGCGCU